ACGGAGGAUGCAGGCGUUAUCCGGAUUUAUUAGGUUUAAAGGGUGUUCAGGCUGUCUGAUAAGUCAGAGGUGAAAGUCGGUUGCUUAACGAUCGAAUUGCCUUUGAAACUGUUAGACUCGAGUAUGGAUGCGGUAGGCGGAAUGUGUAGUGUAGCGGUGAAAUGCAUAGAUAUUACACAGAACACCGAUUGCGAAGGCAGCUUACCAAACCAGCACUGACGCUGAAGCACGAAAGCGUGGGUAGCGAACAGGAUUAGAUACCCUGGUAGUCCACGCCGUAAACUUUGCUCACUCGCUGUUGGCGAUACACAGUCAGCGGCUAAGGGAAACCGAUAAGUGAGCCACCUGGGGAGUACGAUCGCAAGAUUGAAACUCAAAGGAAUUGACGGGGGCCCGCACAAGCGGUGGAACAUGUGGUUUAAUUCGAUGAUACGCGAGGAACCUUACCUGGGCUUAAAUGUAUAGUGCAUGAAUGUGAAAACAUUCUUUCCUUCGGGACUUUAUACAAGGUGCUGCAUGGUUGUCGUCAGCUCGUGCCGUGAGGUGUCGGGUUAAGUCCCAUAACGAGCGCAACCCCUAUUGUUAGUUACCAGCGCGUAAUGGCGGGGACUCUAGCGAAACUGCCGGUGUAAACCGCGAGGAAGGUGGGGAUGACGUCAAAUCAGCACGGCCCUUAUGUCCAGGGCUACACACGUGUUACAAUGGCCGGUACAGAGGGCAGCGGAGUAGUGAUACUUAGCGAAUCUCCAAAGCCGGUCCCAGUUCGGAUUGGAGUCUGCAACCCGACUCCAUGAAGGUGGAAUCGCUAGUAAUCGCGCAUCAGCCAUGGCGCGGUGAUACGUUCCCGGGCAUUGUACACACCGCCCGUCAAGCCAUGGAAGUUUGGGGUGCCUGAAGGCCGUAACCGCAAGGAGCGGUCUAGGGUAAACAAAUGACUGGGGCUAAGUCGUANCA
rnacentral:rRNA from 1 species